GCCAGACUCCCUCCGUCCGGAAUUACUUGUCGGAGAAAUGGAUGUAUCUAGACAUAUUUUAGUUUUAGAUACAUCUACUUUUAUCCAUUUUCACGACAAGUAAUUCCGGACGGAGGGAGUAUAAU
rfam:Triticum aestivum genome assembly, contig: Triticum_aestivum_CS42_TGACv1_scaffold_288367_4AL